GCACAUCAAAACAUUACAAUAAACUUACACGAUUGCAAUGGGACACAUAAGUAUGAUAAAGAUAUUAGGGCAUACAUCUCACACUGAGUAGUUAUUCACCAUCGUUUGCAAAUUGGUUACGACGGAUAAAGGUCAUUAGGCGAGAGAAGAGUGAUACUCUAGGAUAAAUAUCCGUAGGUUUCAUUCGAACAUUAUUUGGAUUUUCUGAAAUGUCACCACUGUGCUGGGAGCCAGUGUGAUGAGAUGAGCUGUCUUCUAGGAAUGGAUCGCUGUAUGAAAGUCGAAACCUCAGAGAAAGGUGUAUAUGCUAAAUCCUGUGCCAAUCAAGCGAUGUGUGAUGUCAAAACACCUGUGUUUAAAACAUGGUGCUGCGAGGGGGAUUUAUGUAACGAUGCCGGUGCCAUCGAGAGGAGCCUCCUGCUUCUGCUGGUGCCAUUGGCCUCCAUCUUUGUUCUCUCCUGAGCCGUCAGCAGCUCCAUCCUCCUCACCACUGGCCCCAGUGCAUCGCUGUACCACAAUGCAAUCUAUAACCAGGGUUUACACGUUGCUUUUGGAAACAUUCUUUUGGUUAAUAGGCUAAACGGGAUGGGCUGUAUAUGAGAAUGUGUUUACGGAGAGCUGGCUCACUCCUUAUUAUGACCACCGCUAGCAUAGCGCUCAUAUCGUGAUUGUCACUUUUUCCUUUGUCUUCUCUUCUUUUUUCCCGUCAUCUACUCCCUGAAUUUUUGGUCAACGGUUCCCAGGACACCGUAAGAGCGGGGCACAUGAAACUUCAUGGGCAUUUAGCCCCAGUAGACUUCUACAGAAAAAUUAGAAGUCCAAAAAAUGCAGUUUUUCCUAAAUAACUACCUGAACCAUGACACCGAGGAUGGCUAAAUGUUUAUGGUAUGUAGGUCUUAAGAGCCCGUAUCAACUUAGCUGAUAACCAGUCAUUUGUGAUUUGCAUCCCCAUAGUAAAAUAUGAAAAUGCGAUAUUAUAUUGCUUUUAUCGCCCCUAUCUUCAAAUGAAAUGUACACCCAUCGGCCUGCAGAUGGUGCUAUUGAGCCAAGGAUUGCUGGUUAAGAAUGACACUGUCACACACACACACACACACACACACAUGCACAGAUACACACACAUACACAGAUUCCGCACACACACACGUAUGCACACACACACAUACAGUACAUGCACAGACACACACACACACACACAUCCAUACACAGACAUGCACACACACUCUUAUGCACAAAAGCAAACUCACACAUGCACACACUCAUUAACACAUGAGCUGAAAGAGUAUAGGAGAUAUAUGCAUAGAAAUUGCACAAAUAGAGAUACAGGAAAGGCCAGGUCAAAUUGUUAUAGUUAACUAGUUAACUCCAUUGUACCUGCAAUCUAGUGCAGUUCUUCUAGGGGCGAUCGCGAGUAAGUGCAAAAACACACAUCAAUUUGUAUGAUUCCCGAAACCAGUCAUUUCCUCAUGGGAUUUUUUUCAGGAUUUUUUGUACGAUCUGGAACAUGCAAAAAUGCUAAUCAAACAUAUUCUAAAUUACUCGUUAGACAUUCUGUGGUGGUGUUUACUGCACACGGUGUGCUUUUAUUUUGAAUAAUUUGGUGGCCGUAUAUUGGGAAGGAACCAAGAUCCUGGUGUUAAUUGAAGCUUACUCUCUGGGGUAGCAAAAUUCAAUGUGUGCCUUAACAUGCCAAAGAUCACAGUAUCCACUUAUGGGCAAAGAUGGUAGCUUUUUAGGUCUAUUCCACUGGCAAAGAGAAAAGCUGAAGAGGGAAGUGAAAGCCUUUUCCCUGGACACAAUAGAUGAAAA